UCCCGGGGGCCCAGCGGCGCGCCUGUCACGGCCGCAGGUGGAUUUUUAGUUUCAAACCGUGACAGGGGGGGCGGGCCGACAGGGGGCGCUGUGGUGGUGCGAUAGUGGGUCGUGAUAGUGAGAAGGAGGGCCUUGGUGGUGAUAGGGGGGGACAUGGUGAUAAGGGGGGAUGGGGGGAUGGGGGGGGUCCUGCUGAUAAGGGAGGUCCUGCUGAUGCUGUGCUGAGCCGUGGUGACACCGACACACCUGGGGACACACACAGACAUGGUGGAACAUGGCAAAUGGCGACCAGGGAUGGGGACACCCCCCCCAAUAUGGUGACCCCAGUGGCAAUGACCCCAGUUGACCCCCAUUAUGUUGACCCCCCCCCAUGACAGUGACCCCAGUAAUGGUGACCCCAGGUGACCCCCCCCAAUACGGUGACACCCCCAUGAUGGCGACCCCAGUGACACUGACCCCAGGUGACCCCCCGGUCACAUUCCCCCCCCUGCCGUUGCCCCCCCCGCCCCCCAUUCCCAUACUGCCGUCCCCGUUUGGUCCGUUCCGUUCAGUCCGGUCCUAUGGUUCCGUUCCCGCAGCAGAGCCCUCAGCAGGGCCGGCAGCCCCAUGGAGUCGCACCACGGCUCCCAUAUAGGGCCGUUCGAUUCCCUUAUAAGGGCUCUGAUCCCAUAGGGGGCCCUCGUCCCAUAUAGCGGGCAUUGCUCCCUUAUAGGGCCGUGGCUCCCCAUAUAGGGCCAUGCCUCCCUGAUAAUAGGGGCCGUGCUCCUCUAUAGGGCCCUGAUCCCAUAUAGGGCCCUGAUCCCAUAUAGGGCUGUGCUCCCUUAUAGGGCCGUGCUCCCCUAUAGGGCCAUGCUCCCUUAUGGGGCCAUGCUCCUCUAUAGGGCCCUGAUCCCAUAUAGGGCCCUGAUCCCUUAUAGAGCCAUGCUCCCAUAGCCGUCCAUGCUCCACUAUAGGGCCGUGCUCCCCGUUAGCCAUCCGUGCUCCAUUCCCGCCUCCAGCCCCAUCCCCCACCUCCUCUUAAUCCC
rnacentral:lncRNA from 1 species